rnacentral:lncRNA from 1 species
CAUAUUAGAUAGCUCAGUUUUUUUUCAUAAAGAAUUAGAUAGCUCAGAUGAGAAUGCGUAUGCUAUAGACGUACCAGUUCUGCACUUAAUUAGCUUUUUUAUGUCCUGGAUCAUAUAUCAGCAGCUACAUGAAUAUAUAUCUCAUACAGGCCGGUGCAUGUACAGCUUGCCCUUUAGUCGCCUUGAUUGACCACUCACAGUAUUUCAUAGUCAGUGGUAAUGAUUUGCAGGGGACUCGUCUCGUGGCUCUAACGGAGAGCAGCUAGGAUCCAAGGCGACCACCGUGUACACAGCGGGAACACUAGUAACCAUGGACUACCCAGUUGCACACGCAGCACCAGCUGUUCACAACAGGUAGUGCGUGCAUGCGUAAAGCAAUGAGCAGGGCUUGCCUCUUUGAUUGAUCUUGCCAUUUAAUGUAUUUUACAUGCACGGGUCUGUUAACGUUAAGCCCUUGGGUCGACUCCAGUUUUAGCACAAUCUUGUAGUCAUGUAUAUAUAUUUUCGGAUGUAUUUACUAUGUAUUAGUGAAUCACUAUGUGGCUUGUCCUGAGGGCUCUUUAACAAUUACUAGUAAAAGAGCCCGUCCGUUGCAAUGUAAAAAAAGAUAUCACAUGCUCUCCAUUGGUCCUUCCUUCGGGAAGUGUUAUUCAAGAAGGG